GGCAAGAUGUGUAUAAUUUCAUAGGAAACCAGGGAGUAAGAUGAAUUUGAAAGCAGAAUUGUAUCAGCUCAUUGAUAGGAAACCUCGACCUGUCUCUCAGCUGGUUGCACAACAGGUUCCUCAACAAUUCGUGCCCCCUACACAAUCAAAGAAAGAGAAAAAAGACAAAGUAGAAAAGGAAAAAAGUGAAAAGGAAACAACAAGCAAAAAGAACAGUCAUAAGAAAACAAGGCCAAGAUUGAAAAAUGUGGAUCGAAGUAGCGCUCAGCAUUUGGAAGUUACCGUUGGAGAUCUGACAGUCAUAAUUACAGACUUUAAGGAGAAAACUAAGUCACCGCCUGCUUCCAGUGCUGCUUCUGCAGAUCAACACAGUCAGAGUGGUUCUAGCUCUGACAACACAGAGAGGGGAAUGUCCAGGUCAUCUUCGCCCAGAGGAGAAGCGUCAUCACUGAAUGGGGAAUCUCAUUAAAGUUUCUUUCCUCCAGUUUCUUUAGUCUCUUCUCUUCAAAACAUGCAAAUACAUAACUUCUGUCACCUGUUACCACAUUUUCAUGACAGAUUAUCCAUGCACAAUUGGUGGGACUAUUUGCAGAAUAUACUGGUGUAAUGGAUUACAGGAGAGCUGAAACUGUUCAAAGUAAGCAGUUUAAUGAUAGCAAAUCUCAUUGCAAGAUGUUUUAUGAAAUGUGUUUCUAAUUUAAAAUGUAAUGAAUGCUAACACAUUUCAGAAUUCCUUGCAAACAAAUAAUAAUCUAUUACCAGUAGUUCACUAAAUGGGAAACGUAUUUUCAUUUAACUUUAUGUGAAUAAACCACCCAGCACUGCCAACAAGAGGUCUCUUUGUAUCUUCGGAAAUAAGUAGCCAUUUGGUUUGGAAGGAAGGGAGGAUGGAGUGGAUUUUACUGUGAUUCAACCGUCUCUAGAGAAUAAUCUCAAAAAUGUGGUACAAGUAUAGUUAUAAUCAAAAAGAAUGGAGAAAGGUCUCACUGUUCUUCAUGGAAUAAGACAUAGAAAAGCGAUUUUCUAACCACAGUUACAACACAAGUCAGCUAGGAUCUAAAAACUGAGCUGUGGUGGUUUUAAUUGAACUAUUGUGUUGCCAGUGUUUACAUUGCAGUGAUGCCUAUUUUGGCAUUAGACAAAGUUAAGGUAAUUUUUGCCUGUGUGUGAUUAAAGGGAUGUGACGAUACUGACAGCAGACAAAUUCUAAGUAGGCUCUGUUCAUAAUGUUAUAAUUUAAAUGAACUUCACUUUCAUAAUUUCAAAAUAAUUUUGACUUGUAGUAAUCCUAAGUCCUUUUUCUAACUGUAAAUAUAUUUAAAAACAUCUUUACUCCAUUUAUAAAAAGUGAAAAUUUAAUGUUGUAAUGUGUUUUGAUUAGCUAUUUUUCUCUGUGACUGCUCUCUGCAUAAGAACUGUUACUUGUUAAAUUCUAUAUAUGCACCAGUCUUCAACAGCCAUACAUCCUGGGUUGUUCAUGAAACGGUCACCCAACAAAGACAGUUGUGAUAGUGUUCCAUGUAAAUGAGUUCCUUUAUGUGCUGAUUGAUUCUCCAGUUUCAGAAAGGAAAAAGGGGGAGGAAUGAUGAAAAAUGAAGUUCAUGGAUAAAGUGUACAAUUAUUCAGACUCUUAUCUUCCUAAAUUUGCCACUAAUUAUAGGCGGUAUAAGGAAAAGAGCAAAUACACAGUUGUAGACUGUGAUCCUUUUUUUUCCUGAAAUUAAGUAUGUAUAUUGGAGAUAAACACAAGUUGUUCUACUUAGUAGCAGGUUAAAUUAUGCCAUAUAAAAUCUUGAUUCUAAUAGAAGUGAUAGGAAAAAAAAUGAAAAUUACAUUAAGUAACUUAAAAAUUCUUGCUAUUAAAAGUCUUGAAAUUAAGACUAAGACUGAAGUUUUAACCUGUUACAUGUUUCUCUAGAUAUUUGAUGUUUUGUGGCAUAGAUUGUAAAAUCUCAAAAUUUUUUUUGAUUUUAUAAUUUGUGCACUUUUUCUAAUAUUAUGGAUAGCACAUUUUUAGGUAGCCAUGUAAGAUAGAAUACUUUUGAUAAUUUAUUUCUACCAGUUCACUCUAGUGUUCAGGCAGGUCUUUUAAACUUGACACAAGUGUAUGGCUCUGCAUCUUGGAUUCUUUCAUUUUUUCUCUUCCUGUCUCAAAAGUCUGACAGUUUCCCACGUUAUGCUGAUUGAUUAUACAGGAUGGAUUUGGCAUGGAACUGUCUACUGUGUACUUCUUAUCCAGGGUUCUUUAACUGUAUCUGCUUGCCUUUAUUUGACUCUGCCUCCUGCUAGGGAGUCUGGGUAUGCUUCCUUUCAAAUAUCAGAAACUAUAUGGAAAUAGAAAUGCGAUUUAAUUUAAUUUCUCCAAAGGCAGAAGCAAGUGCUAUACUUGCAGUAAAAUUGGUCUGUGCUUACUCAGAAAUAAGAUAGGUAAGAGUAAAAGUUAAUGCUGGUUUUGGCUAUGGUAAUUUGCAAAUGUGUACUUCUAUGGAUGUUAAGAUUUGGGUUUGCUGGAGCUUUCAAAGAUUUUUCUUACCUGAAAUUAUGCCCCGACUUAUGUCAAAGCAGCUUCAGUUUGAAAGGGUGUAUCUUCACAAACUAGCAAAAGCUGUACAGUAAAAUCAAACUGAGGAAGCUCAGUUGGUUUUCUUUUGUACUUUCUCCUCUUGUUGAGAAAGACUUGUCUAAGACAAAAACCAACUACUAAGUUUAGUUUGACAUCUGAAGAACCUGUGUUUUAAUAGAAAUUAACAAGAUUCAUCUACUAAAUUAAAAUCUGAAAAGUACUUCACCAGUUAACUACAAAUCAGUGCUUUACAGAAAUUAUUUUAACUUCCUGUCUAGAUGGAUACAGAUGGAGUAAAUGGUGCAACAGCACUGGAUAGCUGCAUGCUUGCUAGGAAGUGGUAUUAUCCAACAACAAGUGACGUUAAAGUGACUUUGCUAAGACAUUACACAGGAAGAUUGUGAUAUGUCUGUGAACAAGGCCUAGGAGUCCAGGUCGUGUGUCCCCCUGCCCCACCCCCACCUAAACUGUACCAUUAGAUUCAACCAGAGAAAGAAAAUCCCAUGAACAAAUAAAUUAGUUUCAGAUCCUAGAGUCUUAGUAAUGCAGGAGCUGUUUACAGCGUCUGUUUAACUGCAUCAGUGAAAAUUAAUUAAAGUGAACCACCACUGUAUAAUACUUAAUCCCUCAGGAGAUGUUUUUGAUCCCCAUCUUGUCCCUUUUAUGAUGGAAAACAGGUAAAAGUAAUCUGAAAGAACUUGCUCUUGUCCACUGACACAGGGGAUUUUAAGAGGAGACAGUUUAAUGUGCACAGGAAGUUUCAGCUGCACUUUUAAGGAGUUAAACAUGGAAGAUGAAGGGCAAAAGCAUAUUCCAUAGCUCAAAUGAGUAUUACUGAGAAUGAUCACAGGAGAUUGCUGUACCAUUUGGGGUUUGUAAAAGACAAAAUGGUAACGCUGUCUAAUCACUCCUUGUCCUAUAUGUUUAAAAAGAAAAUUACCACCAGAAAGAAUAUUGUUCCAGUAACAACAAUUCAAAGAAUAAUUCCAAAAUGUUAAUUAUUUUGUGGAAAGUAUGGCAUUUCUUGACAGAGAUAGGAAUAUCUGAGCAAGAAGCCCUUUAGGACUACAUUUCUAGGAUCUCAGCCACCUGGGAAAGUGUAAUCUUUAAUUACACUGUUCUCUGUGUAUAAAUAUUGAUCUCAGUCAAAGUGCUUGCAAAGCGAACAAGGUCCCCUAAACUUUAAGAUUUUAAGAAAAGUGGCUUUAGACCAAUGGAGCUCUAACUUACAAUGGAGUUAUUGAGAAGUCAACUGAGGAAAAGAGAGUAUUAAUCUAUUUUUUGAUAACCUGCUCAUAACUUUCUCCUUCUGUAUGAAGAAGCAGAAGUAUACAGAAGAAGGAAAUAUAUGUAACCAGGGCUUACAAAAUUUGGCUCUUUACCCUUUACUCAAGCUCAGUAGAAUCUACAAACUACAAAUUCUGUUUGGUUCAAAGGCAGUUGCAGGUACUUUGUCACUAGAAAAGGAUGGAGGUGUUCAGUCACUUUGCAUCUAUUAGUUAAGACCAGGGAGUGGUCAGGCUGAUCGUACUUUCUGAAUACCCACUUCGGGAAUACAGAGAUCUAAUUUGCUAUUUAUAUGCAUCUAAUAUAUAACUGCCAUCCAUGAACAAUCUAUUUCAAGCUGAUCCUUCUUUGCACAGAAUAAAUCAAAAUGCUUCAAUGCCAAGCCCGGUUCCUGAUGGCGCAGAUCUCUGAGCGAGAAAAUCUGCCAUCUGACUGAUCAUCUCUUACUGUAACAGCCUGCAGCUAUGAAUUAAUUUCAGCAAGGGAAAUCUCUUCAGAGUACAUGUAUUUGUUGAGUAUCACUACUCCCACCUCUGAAGGAAACACAUUCUGAUUCCUUCUCUAUUUUUUUUUCUGAAGUACAUCUAUAGCGUAAGUGGAUGCAGUGAGUUUGAACUAAUUUGUUCUGACUGCUUUUUUAAGUGGGGAAUUUGACUGCUAUUCCCAGUUCUCCAGCUAGGUUGCUGUAAGACUAACAAUGGUGUGUAGAGCUUAGAGGUCAUCCGUCAAUGUUGUCACCGUUGUCCUUGUUUCUAUACAAUUGACUUACUGAACAGAUUCUUGCUGAGCAAACUUAACUUACACCAGCCCUGUACCAUUCAGGCAUUCUGGCUGAGGUAGCUGGCGUUCUGGGAUGCCAAUUACUGGUCUUCAUAUCUGCAUUCCUGCAAAUAGUCUGAUUCUAUUGCUGGGAGG